UACGUAGGGGGCAAGCGUUGUCCGGAAUCAUUGGGCGUAAAGCGCGCGUAGGUGGCCCGGUAAGUCCGCUCUGAAAGUCAAAGGCUCAACCUUUGAAAGCGGGUGGAUACUGUCGGGCUAGAGUCCGGAAGAGGCGAGUGGAAUUCCUGGUGUAGCGGUGGAAUGCGCAGAUAUCAGGAAGAACACCAAUGGCGAAAGCAGCUCUCUGGGACGGUACUGACGCUGAGGCGCGAAAGCGUGGGGGAGCGAACAGG
rnacentral:rRNA from 1 species